GACGAACGCUGGCGGCGUGCUUAACACAUGCAAGUCGAACGGAAAGGCCCUGCUUUUGUGGGGUGCUCGAGUGGCGAACGGGUGAGUAACACGUGAGUAACCUGCCCUUGACUUUGGGAUAACUUCAGGAAACUGGGGCUAAUAUCGGAUAGGAGCUCUUGCUGCAUGGUGGGGGUUGGAAAGUUUCGGCGGUUGGGGAUGGACUCGCGGCUUAUCAGCUUGUUUGUGGGGUAGUGGCUUACCAAGGCUUCGACGGGUAGCCGGCCUGAGAGGGUGACCGGCCACAUUGGGACUGAGAGACGGCCCAGACUCCUACGGGAGGCAGCAGUGGGGAAUAUUGCACAAUGGGCGGAAGCCUGAUGCAGCGACGCCGCGUGCGGGAUGACGGCCUUCGGGUUGUAAACCGCUUUCGCCUGUGACGAAGCGUGAGUGACGGUAAUGGGUAAAGAAGCACCGGCUAACUACGUG
rnacentral:rRNA from 1 species